rnacentral:tRNA from 1 species
AUUUAAAUAGCUUAUAAUAGAGCAUAAUAUUGAAGAUAUUAGGGAGAUAAUAAUUAUCUUUAGAUA